AUUAACCUAACUCAAAAUCUGAUUUCAAAAUGCGCAGGACUUCUUUUAUAACAUUGCGCAAUAUUAUCAUAACAAUGUGGUCUGGCGACAGGUAGUCAGUCGUUGUGCAUCGAAAACUUAAGAAACAAGAGUAUUUCGCCCGAAAAUAUUCGUUGUAAUGUUAACAAGUUUAGUGAAAAUUACCAUAUUUUUAAUUUUAUCAAAUUGAUUUUGUGCGUGGCUGUGAAAUAAACGAUUUAUAGGUUAGGUUGAUACGAAAAUGCAUGGUUAGCAUUACUGGUGAUGUCACAUAAAGUGAUUUUUCGGAGAAUUGGUCCACAGUAAGCGAAGUCUCUCUUCAGCCAACAUCAUACCAACUGCUGGCUCAUCUGCCGCUUCAUUACCAGCAACCCCAGAGUGACCUGGGAGCCAGAUCAAAGAAACUCGAAUCAGAAAACUCAUUAACCAGAAGCGACACGAUUUUCAUGCUCUGCAGCGCCUGGAGAGCGGCUUGACUAUCUCAAGAAGGAUUUUAGCACCCAAAUACUUCCGCCUGGAAUACCGUACAGCCUAUAAUGGGGCCGAACGGCGUCGGCCACGAUCAGAUACGGGCAUAAUCGAUUCUGCGAGCUAGUCAUCCCAUGACACGAAGACGUCUUCAUCUGCGUACUCCUUUGGACCACGGGUUACGACUACGUUCGAUACAUCAAGAUUCAUCUCGUGGUUUCACGCUGCGACGCCCCGUAAAGAACGUACCGCAGACUGCGAGACCGUGAUCGAUGGUGAUCUAACAGGAAUUGGAUAUGUCGAUCUUACUAAGAGAUCUAAAUACAGUAAAACCACGCACAAAAUAUUUUUAAGUCAUACUA